rnacentral:rRNA from 1 species
CCCCUGGCACAAUACUGACGCUCAGGUGCGAAAGCGUGGGGAGCAAACAGGUAUUAGAUACCCUGGUAGUCCACGCCGUAAACGAUGUCUACUAGCUGUUCGUGGUCUUGUACUGUGAGUAGCGCAGCUAACGCACUAAGUAGACCGCCUGGGGAGUACGGUCGCAAGAUUAAAACUCAAAUGAAUUGACGGGGGCCCGCACAAGCGGUGGAGCAUGUGGUUUAAUUCGACGCAACGCGAAGAACCUUACCUACUCUUGACAUCUAGCGAAGAUUGCAGAGAUGCAGUUGUGCCUUCGGGAACGCUAAGACAGGUGCUGCAUGGCUGUCGUCAGCUCGUGUUGUGAAAUGUUGGGUUAAGUCCCGCAACGAGCGCAACCCUUAUCCUUAGUUGCCAGCACGUAAUGGUGGGAACUCUAGGGAGACUGCCGGUGAUAAACCGGAGGAAGGUGGGGACGACGUCAAGUCAUCAUGGCCCUUACGAGUAGGGCUACACACGUGCUACAAUGGUACGUACAGAGGGAGGCAAGCUGGCGACAGUGAGCGGAUCUCUUAAAGCGUAUCGUAGUCCGGAUCGCAGUCUGCAACUCGACUGCGUGAAGUCGGAAUCGCUAGUAAUCGCAAAUCAGAAUGUUGCGGUGAAUACGUUCCCGGGCCUUGUACACACCGCCCGUCACACCAUGGGGAGUGGGUUGCAAAAGAAGUAGGUAGCUUAACCUUCGGGAGGGCGCUUACCACUUUGUGAUUCAUGACUGGGGGUGAAGUCGUAACAAGGUAACCAAUCACUA